GUUGCUGAUUCAACUGCAACAACUCCAUGCAGAUUUAGGCGAACCUUUACCUUUACUUUUGCCCGCUCACUCUUCAUUGAUUGAAAAGGACCAAUCUGUCCGUCAACAUAAGAAUAAUAAUUUAUAAUACUGAACCAAUACAGUCAGUUGUAUUGAACAUUAGAUUAUAAAUGAGGAGAAACAUCAACUGAAGUUGUCCUAUUAGGAAAUUUGAAUAGACGUGCAUACUGUAUAUGUGCUGAUCUUCGCUGGUGCCUGCAGUUCACUAACAUCAGCAUACUGAACAUCUAUUGUGAAUGUGCCAGACCUGUAAAAUGUCAGAGCCUUCACACUAGGAAUGGGAUUUCCCUUGGAAAAGACAAUAGUACUUUGUUGGUUAUCUGCAGCUCCGUUCUGUGCAUCUGGAGCAGCACCUUUCCAUGACAACGCAAUUGGAAAGGGG
rnacentral:lncRNA from 1 species